CCGACGGGAGCUUGCUCCCUUAGGUCAGCGGCGGACGGGUGAGUAACACGUGGGUAACCUGCCUGUAAGACUGGGAUAACUCCGGGAAACCGGGGCUAAUACCGGAUGCUUGAUUGAACCGCAUGGUUCAAUCAUAAAAGGUGGCUUUUAGCUACCACUUACAGAUGGACCCGCGGCGCAUUAGCUAGUUGGUGAGGUAACGGCUCACCAAGGCGACGAUGCGUAGCCGACCUGAGAGGGUGAUCGGCCACACUGGGACUGAGACACGGCCCAGACUCCUACGGGAGGCAGCAGUAGGGAAUCUUCCGCAAUGGACGAAAGUCUGACGGAGCAACGCCGCGUGAGUGAUGAAGGUUUUCGGAUCGUAAAACUCUGUUGUUAGGGAAGAACAAGUACCGUUCGAAUAGGGCGGCACCUUGACGGUACCUAACCAGAAAGCCACGGCUAACUACGUGCCAGCAGCCGCGGUAAUACGUAGGUGGCAAGCGUUGUCCGGAAUUAUUGGGCGUAAAGCGCGCGCAGGCGGUUUCUUAAGUCUGAUGUGAAAGCCCCCGGCUCAACCGGGGAGGGUCAUUGGAAACUGGGGAACUUGAGUGCAGAAGAGGAGAGUGGAAUUCCACGUGUAGCGGUGAAAUGCGUAGAGAUGUGGAGGAACACCAGUGGCGAAGGCGACUCUCUGGUCUGUAACUGACGCUGAGGCG
rnacentral:rRNA from 1 species